rnacentral:tRNA from 1 species
GCGAGAGAAGCUCAUCGGGAUGAGUGCCUGUCUUCCAAACAGGAGGCAGUGGGUUCGAGACCCACCUCUCGCUCCA